rnacentral:rRNA from 1 species
GACGAACGCUGGCGGCGUGCUUAACACAUGCAAGUCGAACGGAAAGGCCCUGCUUUUGUGGGGUGCUCGAGUGGCGAACGGGUGAGUAACACGUGAGUAACCUGCCCUUGACUUUGGGAUAACUUCAGGAAACUGGGGCUAAUACCGGAUAGGAGCUCCUGCUGCAUGGUGGGGGUUGGAAAGUUUCGGCGGUUGGGGAUGGACUCGCGGCUUAUCAGCUUGUUGGUGGGGUAGUGGCUUACCAAGGCUUUGACGGGUAGCCGGCCUGAGAGGGUGACCGGCCACAUUGGGACUGCGAUACGGCCCAGACUCCUACGGGAGGCAGCAGUGGGGAAUAUUGCACAAUGGGCGGAAGCCUGAUGCAGCAGCGCCGCGUGCGUGAUGACGGCCUUCGGGUUGUAAACCGCUUUCGCCUGUUACGAAGCGUGAGUGACGGUAAUGGGUAAAGAAGCACCGGCUAACUACGUG